rnacentral:rRNA from 1 species
CAAUAGCGUAUAUUAAAGUUGUUGCGGUUAAAAAGCUCGUAGUUGGAUUUCUGCUGAGGACGAUCGGUCCGCCCUCUGGGUGAGCAUUGACUCGGCCUUGGCAUCUUCUUGGAGAACGCUACUGCACUUGACUGUGUGGUGCGGUAUCCAGGACUUUUACUUUGAGGAAAUUAGAGUGUUUCAAGCAGGCGCACGCCUUGAAUACAUUAGCAUGGAAUAAUAAGAUAGGACCUUGGUUCUAUUUUGUUGGUUUCUAGAGCUGAGGUAAUGAUUAAUAGGGAUAGUUGGGGGCGAUUCGUAUUUAACUGUCAGAGGUGAAAUUCUUAGAUUUGCGCUUGAAAACUACUGCGAAAGCAUUUGCCAAGGAUGUUUUCAUUAAUCAAGAACGAAAGUUAGGGGAUCGAAGAUGAUUAGAUACCGU